CUGUUGAUAGCUCAGUUGGUAGAGCGGUUGACUUUAGAGGAAAGGAUUUCUGUCAUCUUUAGGUCGCUGGUUUGAGUCCGGCCCGACGGC
rnacentral:tRNA from 1 species